UACGUAGGGUGCGAGCGUUAAUCGGAAUUACUGGGCGUAAAGCGUGCGCAGGCGGUUCGUUAAGUCCGUUGUGAAAGCCCUGGGCUCAACCUGGGAACUGCGAUGGAUACUGAGGAGCUGGAGUACGGUAGAGGAAGGUGGAAUUCCCGGUGUAGCAGUGAAAUGCGUAGAUAUCGUAAGGAAGACCAGUGGCGAAGGCGAGUCUCUGGACAGUUACCGACGCUGAGGCACGAAGGUCAGGGGAGCAAACGGG
rnacentral:rRNA from 1 species